UGAAGGUGAUGAAGAUGGUGGUGGAGCAACGCCGACGACGUCUUCAGGUCGACCUGCGUUGCGGCGUCUGCGGCGGUGGACGACGGUGGUGGUUCACGGCUCGGGUUAUUUCAGUUUAGUCCGCACCGGUCAAACUGGUUCAAAUUGUGUUCGGGUUAGUUCACUCGGGUGAACUCAGGUGACUUGGUUCAGCUUGGUUCGGGUCUCGACUCGAGUUUCGGUCGACAUCAGUUCGGGUUCGGAAGUGGAGGUAGUCGUGGGUUACCCGUGUUUCGGUUCAAGACUUCAAGUUUAGUUUCAAUUCACUUGUUUCAGUCCAUGUUUGGGUCUCGGUUCAGCCUUCACCGAGUCAACUUGGUGUCUUGAGUUCCAGUUCAGUCAGAUUUCGGAUCGGGAUUCACGUCGGAGUUUAACGCGACUCGUUUCGCUAUGAAAAUAUGGAUGAAUGUGAUAAUCGCGUACGUUCGUUCUCUUGGAAUUCUUCAUGCUUACUCGUGUGUUAUUUCAAGGAACCCUUAUACGCAACCAAUGUGA
rnacentral:lncRNA from 1 species